CAAUAGCGUAUAUUAAAGUUGUUGCAGUUAAAAAGCUCGUAGUUGGAUUUCUGAUCGAGACAUCAGGUCGGGUCCGAGAGGAUCAUGUACUUUGAUUUUGUUUUGAUCAUCCUUGGGGAGAGCAUUUCUGGCAUUCAGUUGUCGGGAUUGGGAUCCUCAUCGUUUACUGUGAAAAAAUUAGAGUGUUCAAAGCAGGCCUCGGCCUCUGAAUACAUUAGCAUGGAAUAAUAAGAUAGGACUUUGGUGGUCUAUUUUGUUGGUUGCACGCCAAAGUAAUGAUUAAUAGGGAUAGUUGGGGGUAUUCGUAUUCAAUUGUCAGAGGUGAAAUUCUUGGAUUUAUGGAAGACGAACUACUGCGAAAGCAUUUACCAAGGAUGUUUUCAUUAA
rnacentral:rRNA from 1 species